GCCGUUUUAGCUCAGAUGGAAGAGCAGGAGGCUGAAACCCCUCUGAUGCGCCGGUUCGAGUCCGGCAAACGGAUCCA
rnacentral:tRNA from 1 species